rnacentral:tRNA from 1 species
GGGCCUAUAGCUCAGUCUCGGUUAGAGCGCACGCCUGAUAAGCGUGAGGUCGUUGGUUCGAUUCCAACUAGGCCCACCA